rnacentral:rRNA from 1 species
ACUCCUACGGGAGGCAGCAGUGGGGAAUCUUUGGACAAUGGGGGCGAAACCCUCGAUCCAGCCAUGCCGCGUGAGUGAUGAAGGCCCUAGGUCGUAAAGCUCUUUCGCCUGUGAUGAUAAUGACAGUAGCAGGUAAAGAAACCCCGGCUAACUCCGUGCCAGCAGCCGCGGUAAUACGGAGGGGUUAGCGUUGUUCGGAAUUACUGGGGCGUAAAGCGCGCGUAGGCGGACUAUUAAGUCAGGGGUGAAAUCCCGGGGCUCAACCCCGGAACUGCCCUUGAUACUGGUAGUCUUGAGUUCGAGAGAGGUGAGUGGAAUUCCGAGUGUAGAGGUGAAAUUCGUAGAUAUUCGGAGGAACACCAGUGGCGAAGGCGGCUCACUGGCUCGAUACUGACGCUGAGGUGCGAAAGUGUGGGGAGCAAACAGGAUUAGAUACCCUGGUAGCGACUGA